rnacentral:rRNA from 1 species
GCUUGCUGGGUGGAUUAGUGGCGAACGGGUGAGUAAUACGUGAGUAACCUGCCCUUGACUCUGGGAUAAGCCUGGGAAACUGGGUCUAAUACUGGAUACUACCGUCCAUCGCAUGGUGGGUGGUGGAAAGGGUUUUACUGGUUUUGGAUGGGCUCACGGCCUAUCAGCUUGUUGGUGGGGUAAUGGCUCACCAAGGCGACGACGGGUAGCCGGCCUGAGAGGGUGACCGGCCACACUGGGACUGAGACACGGCCCAGACUCCUACGGGAGGCAGCAGUGGGGAAUAUUGCACAAUGGGCGGAAGCCUGAUGCAGCGACGCCGCGUGAGGGAUGACGGCCUUCGGGUUGUAAACCUCUUUCAGUAGGGAAGAAGCGAGAGUGACGGUACCUGCAGAAGAAGCGCCGGCUAACUACGUGCCAGCAGCCGCGGUAAUACGUAGGGCGCAAGCGUUGUCCGGAAUUAUUGGGCGUAAAGAGCUCGUAGGCGGUUUGUCGCGUCUGCUGUGAAAGCCCGGGGCUCAACCCCGGGUCUGCAGUGGGUACGGGCAGACUAGAGUGCAGUAGGGGAGACUGGAAUUCCUGGUGUAGCGGUGAAAUGCGCAGAUAUCAGGAGGAACACCGAUGGCGAAGGCAGGUCUCUGGGCUGUUACUGACGCUGAGGAGCGAAAGCAUGGGGAGCGAACAGGAUUAGAUACCCUGGUAGUCCAUGCCGUAAACGUUGGGCACUAGGUGUGGGGGACAUUCCACGUUUUCCGCGCCGUAGCUAACGCAUUAAGUGCCCCGCCUGGGGAGUACGGCCGCAAGGCUAAAACUCAAAGGAAUUGACGGGGGCCCGCACAAGCGGCGGAGCAUGCGGAUUAAUUCGAUGCAACGCGAAGAACCUUACCAAGGCUUGACAUUCACCGGACCGCCUCAGAGAUGGGGUUUCCCUUCGGGGUCGGUGGACAGGUGGUGCAUGGUUGUCGUCAGCUCGUGUCGUGAGAUGUUGGGUUAAGUCCCGCAACGAGCGCAACCCUCGUUCUAUGUUGCCAGCACGUGAUGGUGGGGACUCAUAGGAGACUGCCGGGGUCAACUCGGAGGAAGGUGGGGAUGACGUCAAAUCAUCAUGCCCCUUAUGUCUUGGGCUUCACGCAUGCUACAAUGGCCGGUACAAAGGGUUGCGAUACUGUGAGGUGGAGCUAAUCCCAAAAAGCCGGUCUCAGUUCGGAUUGAGGUCUGCAACUCGACCUCAUGAAGUCGGAGUCGCUAGUAAUCGCAGAUCAGCAACGCUGCGGUGAAUACGUUCCCGGGCCUUGUACACACCGCCCGUCAAGUCACGAAAGUUGGUAACACCCGAAGCCGGUGGCCU